GUGAGGAAUAUUGCGCAAUGGAGGCAACUCUGACGCAGCCAUGCCGCGUGCAGGAAGAAGGCGCUACGCGUUGUAAACUGCUUUUAACCGGGAAGAAACCCCAGGACGUGUCCUGGGUUGACGGUACCGGAGGAAUAAGCACCGGCUAACUUCGUGCCAGCAGCCGCGGUAAUACGAAGGGUGCAAGCGUUAUCCGGAUUCAUUGGGUUUAAAGGGUGCGUAGGCGGAGCGUUAAGUCAGUGGUGAACUCCUGCAGCUUAACUGUAGACUUGCCAUUGAUACUGGCGCUCUUGAGUGCGCUUGAAGUGGGCGGAAUGUGUCGUGUAGCGGUGAAAUGCUUAGAUAUGGCACAGAACACCAAUUGCGAAGGCAGCUCACUAAGGCGAUACUGACGCUGAGGCACGAAAGCGUGGGGAUCGAACAGGAUUAGAUACCCCUGUAGUCC
rnacentral:rRNA from 1 species